rnacentral:sRNA from 1 species
GUUUGGGUAAGGCAGUGGAUGAGGUUAAGGGUUCCUGGGGUGGUUUAUUUGGUGAGACUGGGCAUGAUUCAGAAAAGCUGGAAGAUCUAGAGAGGGAUCUUGCAAUCUGAAGUUUGUUUAGUCACUGGAGGAUUUGAACGUCUAUGACACUCUUCCGAGCUGACACAGUGAAGAACAUGGAAGGAGAACUCACCCAGUCUGCCAGGGUCACAGAUGAUCAUACUCAAGAUCUUCCUGGGGAGUCAACGGCAAAUUUCACUGGGCUACUUUACAGAUGAAGAAGGAAUAUAAAGAAGGUUCUGGGACCCU